rnacentral:rRNA from 1 species
UACGGAGGGUGCGAGCGUUGUCCGGAAUCAUUGGGCGUAAAGGGCGCGUAGGUGGCCUGCUAAGCGUGCGGUGAAAGUCGGGGGCUCAACCCCCGAUCGGCCGUGCGAACUGGGGAGGCUUGGAGCACUGUAGAGGCAGGCGGAAUUCCUGGUGUAGCGGUGAAAUGCGCAGAUAUCAGGAGGAACACCGGUGGCGAAGGCGGUUCUCUGGGCGAUGACCUGACGCUGAGGAGCGAAAGUGUGGGGAGCAAACAGG